CUUGUUCCUCUCAUGCACACCAGCUCCCUGUUUGCUUCCCACCAUGACUGGAAGCUUCCUGAGGUCUCACCAGGAGCAGAUGCCAGCACCAUGCUUCUUGUACAACAUGCAAUUCCAAGAGGAUUUCUAAUGAACUGUUCUUACAGUCUUAUGAAAAUAUGUUCUCCAAAUUUGCUAGAGGUCAACAUCGAAUUUGAUUCUCUGAUCCCUGGCAGCUAAGGAAGAAGAAAACUUGAAUAGCCACAAGAUUCUAUGUCAGUAAAAGAAAAAUAUGCCAGGGACUCAUGAGAGGUAAUUACAAAUUGGCAAAUACAUACAAUGUAUGUGUGUCAAGCAGAAUAAUGGCUCCGCAAAGAUGCCCAUGGCCUAAUCUCUGGAACCUGGUAAUGUGUUUAGUGAUGUGGUAAAGGGGGAAGUUUGUGAAUCAGUUGACAUUAAGUAGGAAGAAUAUCCUGUAUUAUCCAGGUAGGCCCAGCAUAAUCCCAAGGUUCAGUAAAAGCUGCAGAGGGUGGCAGAGUCAAAAUGAGGCACUAGAAGAAAAGCUCAACCUGCUAUUGCUGACUUUGAACACAAAGGAGGAGGCCAGGAACCAAGGAAAGUGGACAGUCCCCAGCAACUUGAAAAAGAAGAAAAUACAUGCUUUUUUUAUUGCCUCCAGAAAGAAAUGUAGUCCUUCUGACACCUUGAUUUUAGUUCAUUGAGGUCCCUUUUGGACUUCUAUCCCAUGGAAAUGUAAAAUAAUAUAUUUUGUUUUAAGCUACUCAAUUUGUGACAAUUUGUUAUUUUAGCAUUAGAAAAUUAAUUCAAUAUAAUCUAGCAUUAUG